AUGAACGCUGGCGGCGUGCCUAAUACAUGCAAGUCGAGCGAACAGACGAGGAGCUUGCUCCUCUGACGUUAGCGGCGGACGGGGGAGUAACACGUGGAUAACCUACCUAUAAGACUGGGAUAACUUCGGGAAACCGGAGCUAAUACCGGAUAAUAUAUUGAACCGCAUGGUUCAAUAGUGAAAGACGGUUUUGCUGUCACUUAUAGAUGGAUCCGCGCCGCAUUAGCUAGUUGGUAAGGUAACGGCUUACCAAGGCAACGAUGCGUAGCCGACCUGAGAGGGUGAUCGGCCACACUGGAACUGAGACACGGUCCAGACUCCUACGGGAGGCAGCAGUAGGGAAUCUUCCGCAAUGGGCGAAAGCUUGACGGAGCAACGCCGCGUGAGUGAUGAAGGUCUUCGGAUCGUAAAACUCUGUUAUUAGGGAAGAACAAAUGUGUAAGUAACUAUGCACGUCUUGACGGUACCUAAUCAGAAAGCCACGGCUAACUACGUG
rnacentral:rRNA from 1 species